rnacentral:rRNA from 1 species
GUUUCCGUAGGUGAACCUGCGGAAGGAUCAUUACCACACCCGGGAUCCUCGAUC